GAGGACAUAGCUCAGUGGUAGAGUGCGUGCCUAGCAUGCACAAGGUCCAGGGUUCAAUCCCCAGUACCGCCA
rnacentral:tRNA from 1 species